AGUGAACGCUGGCGGUAGGCCUAACACAUGCAAGUCGAACGGCAGCACAGUAAGAGCUUGCUCUUACGGGUGGCGAGUGGCGGACGGGUGAGGAAUACAUCGGAAUCUACUUUUUCGUGGGGGAUAACGUAGGGAAACUUACGCUAAUACCGCAUACGACCUACGGGUGAAAGCAGGGGAUCUUCGGACCUUGCGCGAUUGAAUGGGCCGAUGUCGGAUUAGCUAGUUGGCGGGGUAAAGGCCCACCAAGGCGACGAUCCGUAGCUGGUCUGAGAGGAUGAUCAGCCACAUUGGAACUGAGACACGGUCCAGACUCCUACGGGAGGCAGCAGUGGGGAAUAUUGGACAAUGGGCGCAAGCCUGAUCCAGCCAUACCGCGUGGGUGAAGAAGGCCUUCGGGUUGUAAAGCCCUUUUGUUGGGAAAGAAAAGCAGCAGGUUAAUACCCCGCUGUUCUGACGGUACCCAAAGAAUAAGCACCGGCUAACUUCGUG
rnacentral:rRNA from 1 species